UACGUAGGGGGCAAGCGUUGUCCGGAAUCAUUGGGCGUAAAGAGCGUGUAGGCGGCCCGGUCAGUCCGCCGUGAAAGUCCAGGGCUCAACCCUGGAAUGCCGGUGGAUACUGCCGGGCUGGAGUCCGGAAGAGGCGAGUGGAAUUCCUGGUGUAGCGGUGAAAUUCGUAGAUAUUGGGAAGAACACCGGUGGCGAAGGCGGCUCACUGGCUCAUUUCUGACGCUCAGGCGCGACAGCGUGGGGAUCAAACAGG
rnacentral:rRNA from 1 species